UGGACUCAGGAGGAUGCAAGAGCAAACCAACACAUCACAGCAAUGCCCCGAAACUCAGUUGCUCUCUGGGUAGCACAUUGUCUCCAAGACCUCGGAGCCUGCCCUGUACAGCCUUCCCAGGAGCCUCAAGGAACCUCCUCUGGAGAGGGGAACACUCUCCUCUCAGAAGAUCUGAUUUCCAACCCAGCCCAACCUGAUUUAACUCAACCCAACCCUACCCAUCCUCAUUGCCAACCACCCAUGCCCCCAUCCUCCAAACCUGUCACCUGGACUAGGUGGCAUCAUAUCCAACCCAGGAAAAAGGAUUUACUAUCCAAAUAAAAAACAAACCAACAAAAC